rnacentral:lncRNA from 1 species
GUGCAUUUAGAACUGAAUUUCCUCCCCCAGCUAUGCUUCUGACUUUUCAGAUUUGCCACCAAGAUGACUGCUCUCUCAUUCUGGGACUUCUAUCAGAACCUGAACCUUUCUUAUCCAGGGCCUUGGAUUCUGAUCCUUAGGCCAUUCAGGACUUGGCUGUGCCUAGAGGAAACCUAUUGGAAAGACAGCUGGUCUUGGAGUCUGGAAGACCUUUGUUCAAGUCCUGUCUCUGAUUCAUGAUAUCUGUACGACUCUAGAUUAUUCUUUUCAUGAGGGCAGAGCCAUUUUUUUCAUUCCAAUGAAACCCCAUUAUCAGCA